rnacentral:rRNA from 1 species
ACAGAGGGUGCGAGCGUUAAUCGGAAUUACUGGGCGUAAAGCGUGCGUAGGCGGUUUCGUAAGUCGGAUGUGAAAGCCCCGGGCUCAACCUGGGAAUUGCAUUCGAGACUGCGAGGCUCGAGUGCGGAAGAGGGAAGUGGAAUUUCCGGUGUAGCGGUGAAAUGCGUAGAUAUCGGAAGGAACAUCAGUGGCGAAAGCGGCACCCUGGCAUUGGCCUGACGCUGAGGUGCGAAAGCGUGGGGAGCAAACGG